CAAAGGCUUGGUCCUGACCUUAUUAUCAACUUUAACUAAAUUUACACAUGCAAGUAUCCGCACCCCGGUGAAAAUGCCCUACAGUUCCCUUAUUGGGAACAAGGAGCUGGUAUCAGGCACACUCCUCUUUAAGCCCACGACACCUUGCUUAGCCACACCCCCAAGGGACCUCAGCAGUGAUAAACAUUAAGCCAUGAGUGAAAACUUGACUUAGUUAAGGUUAAUUGAGGGCCGGUAAAACUCGUGCCAGCCACCGCGGUUAUACGAGAGGCCCAAGUUGAUAAAUACCGGCGUAAAGUGUGGUUAAGAUAAGACCUGUAUUAAAGUAAAAUGUCUUCAAGGCUGUUAUACGCACCCGAAGGUAAGAAACCCAACCACGAAAGUGACUUUAUGAUACUGAACCCACGAAAGCUAGGACACAAACUGGGAUUAGAUACCCCACUAUGCCUGGCCCUAAACUUUGAUAGUACCCUACAACCUCUAUCCGCCCGGGAACUACGAGCACUAGCUUAAAACCCAAAGGACUUGGCGGUGCUUUAGAUCCCCCUAGAGGAGCCUGUUCUAGAACCGAUAAUCCCCGUUCAACCUCACCUUUCCUUGUUCCUUCCCGCCUAUAUACCGCCGUCGUCAGCUUACCCUGUAAAGGCCUCAAAGUAAGCAAAAUUGGUACAACCUAAAACGUCAGGUCGAGGUGUAGCGUACGGAAAGGCAAGAAAUGGGCUACAUUCCCUACAAUAGGGCAUUAACGAAAGAUGCGCUGAAACACGCAUUUGAAGGAGGAUUUAGCAGUAAGUAGGAAGUAGAGUGUCCAGCUGAAAUUGGCCCUGAAGCGCGCACACACCGCCCGUCACUCUCCCCGAGCCCGACCACCUUGAAUUAAAUAAAACACUACUACAUCUGAGGGGAGGCAAGUCGUAACAUGGUAAGCGUACCGGAAGGUGUGCUUGGAAAAU
rnacentral:ncRNA from 1 species